CGCGCGGCCCGGGAGCCCGCCUCGGAGCCGCGCGCCCCCGCCCGGCAGGCGGGAAGGACGCCCCGGGGACGCGCUGCUUUCUGAAAGCGCGGGCAGCGCGGGCCGCGCGGGGAAAGGCCGACUCUCACCCAGAAGCCAUCCCUGCUGGCUGAUAAUUGAGGAAACUAGCACGCCCUCCGUCUUGCCGGUAGCAUGCAGAGAAAUAAUUUCAGGAAGAAGGAUUCUCCGGAAGCUGAAUGGACAAGAGACAGCGGGGAGAAGCAGGGAGACGGGUGAGGAGGCUGAUGCCAUAGUCCAGAGGACAGCGGGGUGACAGCAAAGGCGGAGAAGUGUCCAGAUCCAAGACAAACUCCAGAGGGAGAGCCGAAAGGGUUGCCUGGAAGAUCAAGAUUUACCUAUUCUGAGUAUUUCACGCGAUGGCAUCCUACGGUGUGGGCUUUUGUGUCUGGCUUCCUUCACUGAGCGCGAAUGUUCCAAGGC